GAUCAUGGCUCAGGACGAACGCUGGCGGCAUGCUUAACACAUGCAAGUCGAACGGAGAUCUGUAGAAAAGCUUGCUUGGAAACAGAUCUUAGUGGCGGACGGGUGAGUAACGCGUGAGGAACCUGGCUCACACAGGGGGAUAACAUAGGGAAACUUAUGCUAAUACCGCAUGAGACCACGCUAUCGCAUGGUAGAGGGGUCAAAGGAGCAAUCCGGUGUGAGGUGGACUCGCG
rnacentral:rRNA from 1 species